ensembl:snRNA U1 U1 spliceosomal RNA
ACACUUGCCUGGCAGGGGACACCAUGAUCACAAGGUGGUUUCCCAGCAUGAAGCUCGUCAUUUGCCCUUUGAUGUGCUGACCCCUGUGAUUUCCCCACGUGUGGGAAACUUAACUGCACAGUCUGUGGUAGUGGGGGGCUGCAUUCACACUCUCGCCUU